GGCUCUAAUUAAAGAAAGGGAAGGGAAGGGAAGGGAAGGGAAGGGGCAAAUUUUGCAGCACAGAUCUGGCGAUUAGAGACAAGUGCAAGAUUUUGUGAGAUUUAUGGGGUUUGCUUGAGGGUGGGCCUUUGGCGAACCAAUCGUCCUUUCUUUGAGAAAACAGGCGGAUCGCAUCUAGAUCUCUAAUCUCAGGGUCUGGACCUAUCGAGCUUGGGCUGCCAUUCUUUGAAGUGGGCCAGCCCAAUAAUGGCUUG